UGCAAGCCGAGCGGUAUUUAUUCUUCGGAAUAGAGAGAGCGGCGUACGGGUGCGGAACACGUGUGCAACCUGCCUUUAUCAGGGGGAUAGCCUUUCGAAAGGAAGAUUAAUACCCCAUAAUAUAUUGAAUGGCAUCAUUUGAUAUUGAAAACUCCGGUGGAUAGAGAUGGGCACGCGCAAGAUUAGAUAGUUGGUAGGGUAACGGCCUACCAAGUCAGUGAUCUUUAGGGGGCCUGAGAGGGUGAUCCCCCACACUGGUACUGAGACACGGACCAGACUCCUACGGGAGGCAGCAGUGAGGAAUAUUGGACAAUGGGUGAGAGCCUGAUCCAGCCAUCCCGCGUGAAGGACGACGGCCCUAUGGGUUGUAAACUUCUUUUGUAUAAGGAUAAACCUUUCCACGUGUGGAAAGCUGAAGGUACUAUACGAAUAAGCACCGGCUAACUCCGUGCCAGCAGCCGCGGUAAUACGGAGGGUGCAAGCGUUAUCCGGAUUUAUUGGGUUUAAAGGGUCCGUAGGCGGAUCUGUAAGUCAGUGGUGAAAUCUCAUAGCUUAACUAUGAAACUGCCAUUGAUACUGCAGGUCUUGAGUAAAGUAGAAGUGGCUGGAAUAAGUAGUGUAGCGGUGAAAUGCAUAGAUAUUACUUAGAACACCAAUUGCGAAGGCAGGUCACUAUGUUUUAACUGACGCUGAUGGACGAAAAGCGUGGGGAGCGAACAGGAUUAGAUACCCUGGUAGUCCACGCCGUAAACGAUGCUAACUCGUUUUUGGGUCUUCGGA
rnacentral:rRNA from 1 species